AGGUUUCAUAGCAACACUCACUCCACGGCAAUAUGAACCAAAAGACGGGACUAAGCGUAUUUUUGGUCUUGGCUGUCACAAGGAUGGUAUACGUUGCGCCAUAUGCGCCUGCAUUUUACAGACAGACGGACUGGUACAGGGCCAUGGGCUGGUGCGCCCACU